rnacentral:rRNA from 1 species
UACGGAGGAUCCAAGCGUUAUCCGGAUUUAUUGGGUUUAAAGGGUGCGUAGGCGGGCCCAUAAGUCAGCGGUGAAAUCUCCCGGCUCAACCGGGGAAUUGCCGUUGAAACUAUGGGUCUUGAGUGUAGAUGAGGUGGGCGGAAUUCGUAGUGUAGCGGUGAAAUGCUUAGAUAUUACGAAGAACUCCGAUUGCGUAGGCAGCUCGCUAGGCUACAACUGACGCUGAGGCACGAAGGUGCGGGGAUCAAACAGG